rnacentral:lncRNA from 1 species
UUGCCUCUUCCUAGCUUCUGGUGGAGGGCAAUCCUUGACAUUCUUUGCUUAUAAGACGCAUCACUUCAUCUCCAUCUUCACAUGGCAUUCUCCAUUUGUGUGUCUCUGUGUCAAAAUUUCCCUCUUCUUAUGAGGCUACCAGUCAUACUGGAUUUAGGGCCCACCGUAAUCCAGUAUGACUUCAUCCAAACAUGACUAUGUCUACAAAGACCCUAUUUCCAAAUAAGGUCAUGUUCACAGAUUGCAGGUGGACAUGCAAUUUGAGGAGCCGGGAGACACUAUUCAAUCCAGGACAGAAAACUUAAUUCCAUCUACAACCUUAAGUCCUCUUCAUGUUAACCUAACAUAUUCACAGGUUCCAGGUGUUAAGGUAUGGACAUCUGGGGUAGGGAAGGAGCAGUACACUGCCUACCACAAACCAGAUGAAUGUAUCUGUGCUAGCUGUAUUCUCAUAAAACUAUAUAUUUUUUCCAGCCUUCUGAAGUCAGUUGUCCUUCCAGUAACCUCUGUUGUCCAGUCAUGUAAUAAGAGGUACAGCCAUGAUAGCACCAUGGGGAAAUCACUUUCCCUAAGUGGACAAGGCAUGCUGCUAGUCAAGGUAUAAAACUGGUUUCCAGUCUGUGAUUCUUUAAUGGUCUUCCUGAAACCACCCAGCCCAUUUCUCUCCCCACCACAUAUGACUCUCUUAACUUCCCGCUUCCAUUCUUGAUGGCAGGGGCUUCACAUUGCCAUUCUCUGUGCACAGAAUGUCUUAUUAUUGCCAUUUAGGCUAUUCCACCCCAUCAGGCAAAAACCAUACAUUUCAAUGGUUUUCUCCCAUAAACCUUCUCUUAGCAAGUGACAGACCACCUAAUUCUGACACAAUAGUCAUAUGUUCACUAUUCAUAGAAGUUUUAAAAAAAUGACUGCAAACGAUAUGAUGCUCCCCCCAGUGAAGGCAAAGAUUGUGUCCCUUCCCUCUGAAUCUGAGUGAGGCUGGGACGGCUUUGACACUAGAGUAAAGGGGACGUGACCCAUGCGGUUUACACUACGCCACUUCUGCCUAACCACCUUGGAACAUCCACUCUCAUCAGGAUGUCUCUCAAAAUCUCUCUUCUGGGAUCUCUGUGGCCGCACCAUGAGAAGCUUACACCAUAUAAAGAAGUAACAAGUAGCUGGAUGACAGUCUCAGAGUCUCUGCUAAGCCCAUCUUCAGCCAUCCUAGCCCAGGGGCCAGAUAUGUAAGUGAAAGGACAUUUUGGACGUAGAUCUCUGGACCCCAGUUGGCAGCCCCCAGCCACGUGGGUCUCCCCAGCUGGCGUCAUGGGACCGUUGCCUUGUUCAAUGCUUAAUGGAUUUCUAAAAAGGACUUCCUUGGCUACACUGUGAGUAAAUUUCACUAGUGUCUGUGAAAGCUUUCCUUUCUUUGUCUGUUUCCCUUUCCUUUAGUCUGCCUUCUUUCUGUUCUUCCCUCCCUCCUUCCCNNNNNNNNNNNNNNNNNNNNNCCUUCCCCCGCCCUCCUUCCCUCCUUUCCUCCUUCCUCUUCAGUGCAUACUUCUAGAGGCUGUGAGCUGAAAAUAGCUAACCACUUUACUGCUUCCAGCAAGUGCUGUGCUGAGAGCCUCAUAAAUACUGAGACAUUUUACAAACAAUCUGACAUCAUGUUGGUAGCCUGAAACUGGCCAUGGUGGUAGUACCUACACCAUGGAGAUGAACAAAAGCUAGAAAUCAGAGCUUUUCUUUCCAGAGAUCAGUUUGGUAAACAUUUACUAGCACAUCAGUGACUUCUCUCAAAGAUGACUUCCACAAAAUAACUGCAAUUCCCCUGAAACCGGCAAAAGAAGUAUCUGUCAGAUUUCAGAGGUGACUCACAACUUUGAAAUGCAAUGAUGAUUGGCUAAGCCCACAUUUGCAAAAUGAGGUCAAACUUAUACGCAAUAUCAGGUUCAUGAAGUUCAAUGUCGCUUUUAAUUUGUGUAAGAUACCACUUUACCUGAGGGUAGAGCUAAAAGUCUAAAGAUGUUGCUAAAAAACAUUAGCUACUUUUUCUUUAAGAGACCAGGUAAUGGGAUAAACUGUGGUAUAUUUAUACAAUGGAAUGCUAUUCAGCAAUAAAAAUGCACUACUCGUAUACACAAGAAUAUCAAUAAAUUUCAAAAACAUGAUGCUGAAGGAACAAAGGCACUCUAAAGGGUACACAUUCUACACGAGAUUCCAUCUACGUGAAAUUCCAGAGAGGCAGCACUAAUCUAUGGAGAUAGAAAUCCCAUGAGUAGUUGCUUGGUAGGGUGAUUGUGGCUGUCUGGGAGGGACACAAAGGUCUAACAAGUUGGAAAUAUUCUGUACCUUGAUCAGCGUAUAGGUUACACGAGCAUGUAAAUUUUUCCAGUGGCUAAAACUGCACUCUAAAAUCAGCACAUCUCACUGCAGUGAAAUUAUACUUUAAUUUUAAAUAUUAAAAAAGAUAAUAGCCUGACAUUCAUAAAAUAUCUGAUUAGCCUACAAAAAUCAGGAAUUAACAUGUUUGCUUCUGUUAUCAUUGUGUUUCUUGGAUUCUUGAUGGAAACUGGUUUAUUGAGAUCAUUUAUGGCUAAGAAACAUAAACACUAAUCUUUAUUUUUUUUGUAUUUCGGCCAGCCCAAUAUUUAUUUUAUCUUCCAUUUGUGUUAAUCUUUAAAAAUUUAAAGAGGAUGUCCUUCUACUUUUCAAUUACAAAUAUAUUUCCUGCUCAUUUUAUAAAUUAAAAACAUAAAACAGCUAAUGAUCUCACAAUUACAAUAUUUGGUAGGAACAAACAUCUAUGUUCUAUUAAAGCGGAAAAUUGCAGAGGAGGAUAUGAGCAAAGCUGUACUACUACCUUCUUGUAGGGAUAGGGAGGGAGGGAGCAGAGGUGUGUAUUCAAAGAUGAGCAACCCUUUCACACAUCGGUACUUCUCCACCUCCCUGCAAAUGCUGUCUACCAGGUACCUGAGGUCACUCCAUCCCACUGUGACCUUCUCUUCAAGGGCAAUGAUCAUCAUCUUACUACUUGGAAUCUGACUCAAUGAGCCUUAGCUGAAUUUCACAGUUGCCCAACAAUUCAGGGGGGGAUAGGUUUUAGUGUUACCAGUUCCUCUUCCACACAAGAAAAAAAUCUCUAGCUAUCAUCUUAAACAUCUGGGGGGUGAGGGUGAGGGGAGGGAAUAACCUCAUUGUAUCUGGAUGACUUCUCACACAUGUUCCAUUAAUCUACCACAUCAGCUACUCGGUUUGAUCCCACUCUGCCUUGGCCGAGUUAAUGUUGCGUUGAUUUUGAUUUAUGUGUCCUAAUGGUCAUUUAUGCAGAUCAUUUUGGUGAGAGAGAAAAUAAUAACCCAGGGACAAACAUUUGAUAUUCUAGGAUUUCAUAAUGGUUACAAAAUCUGCCACCGAGUAUCAAUACCUUGCUCUAAUGCCCGCUUAGUUUCUAAAUAUACACACUGAUAUGAUAAAUACCAAGCAGACAAUAUUAAUGUAAAGUAGAUGCAAAUGAAAAUUGUUGUUGCCGUGAGAAAACUGAUGAUGAAAAUAAAAACUGAUGAUAUAAUAAGAUGUCACCCAUGGUCAAAGGCUAAUAAAACAAAUCUUUUCAUUUAAAAUCACAUAACAGUGUAAUCUAUUUGGAUUUAUCUUCAGAAUGCCAGCAAACAGAGUGGACAAUAUACUGGUCUUUAGAAUUUUAAAAAUACAUAAUUCGAUUAACUAUUUUGUGUAUCUAUAGAAAAUAAAAAUUCCAUCCAUCACCCACUGAAAUUUAGUAGAGGAGAAGUAAGAUAAAAAUAUUUAAAAGAAGAUCCAGUAGACAUUUCCAAUGAAAUAAAAAGAAAGAGAAGUUGGGGAUGGCAGAGCUGCCCUAGCCUGCAGAGUAGAGCCCUGUCUGUGCAGCUCUGCUUCCAUGAAACCCCUCCAAAAUGCACUAGAUCCAGCCAAUCCCCAAUCUUUUGUGGAAGGACUAAUCACUUACAUAAAGACACUCAGAUUUCUUAUUUGUAAAAUGGACUAACAAUGCCUGCCCUGUGGGACUGUUGCUAGAAAACCUUAAUAAGCAUAAUUCAUUCAAAAAAUCCUUGUUAAUGCCUUCCUGUGGCUGGUGCUGUUCUCAGCCUGGUGGUGAACAAACAGAUCAGAUGGCUUCUACAUUCCAGAGAAGGUGGCUGGGUGAGACCUGCCUUUGUUUGUGAAUACAAAUAACCUCCCCAUACAGUGCCUGCAUAGCAGGGCUGGUCUACACUACCCACAGAGAGACCCAUAAGGGUUCUUAGCCUGGGGUGACAGCAGUGGAGAGAAAAAAUGUCAAUACUUAGCAGAUGUAUUCUGAGUUAGAGUCAGUGGGACUCGCUGAUGGAUUAGAUGCUGGGGGUAAAAUCAGAAAUGGUCUCAAAAAUGACUACUAGGCAUUUGUCCUAAUAAUUAAUGAAAUAAUAAUUCAAUCUUAUUUUAAUCCAAGGAUUCUGUGUUACUUUAUAGUUUUAUGAUAUUUUAUCAUUUUAAAAGCAUUUUGAAACAUGUAAUGGCAUCUGAAAUAAUUUUUUUUUUUUUGGCUGCACCCAUGGCACGUGAAAGUUCCCAUAACCUGUGCAGUAGCAGUGAGCCAAGCUGGUGCAGUGAAAAUGCUGGAUCCUUAACCCACUGUGCCACAAGGGAACUCCAAUUUUUUUAGGAAACCAUGUCUGGUAUAAGGUUAGGAGGCUGGGAAAACAGCCAUGUCUCCAAUGUUAAUGUAAAGUAGGUAACCUUGUACUGAUUCCUGAAAAUAGACAAUUUGCAAAAAUCACUUACUUUUUACACCACUAUGAAAUGUACAGUAAUAACCCCAUUAUGAAGAUGAAUAAACUGGGGCUCAGAUAAGCUAAUGCACUUGUUUAGAUUUAUACAGCCAGUGAGCAAUAUUAAGAUUUUAUUCUGGUUCUUCUGAAUCUUAGUUCUGCAGUCCUUCCACACGCCAGUCUGCAGAUGCUCAGGAGCUUCCUCCAGGUCCACAAUGGCUUUUCUUCCCCUCUAAAGUAAGAGAAUCUAUCCUCGGAGGUAACCUAGGAGGUCGGUGGUUACCUUUGGUGGCCUAAGAAGGAGAAAGCAGGGCACUGAAAGAAUGGGAUAUUCUCUCCACCUGGAUAGAAGCGGGGGUGGAGGAGGGCAAGGUGAGGCCCUCGGCUCUGAGGAAAACCGGGCCCAGGACAGGUGGAGAUGAUGGAAAGAUGCUGAGAAUCUGGGGACACUGUUGUCCCCACAGGGAACCACAGCAGAAGCAAUAUUGUUGCUUUUCAUAUCCAGCCCCUGUUACAAUAAACUCAAUAAACAAAAGCCUUGUGGUCAGAUCUUUAAAACAGAGAUUAUGAAAAUACUCCUUCCGUGCCCUAUGUUUAAGAACAUUGGCUACACCCCACGUGUAAGAGUGCGAGAUGCUGAGAUCUGAGAUCCACAUGAGACAAAGGCCUUAUGCUGGCUCCGCACCGCUCCGGUUGCUUACACUGUGAAGGGGUCAGUUUCUUCCUGGUCAUUCACCCCCUUAGGGCACCUCUUCUCUUUUAGCUCAGAUUAGAUGUCCUAAUAGCUUAAGAAAAAGAACAAGCUUGGACAUUUUUAACCUAUUUAGAGACAUUAGGAGAAAUAGCCUAUCUGCUUAUUAUUUCUAUUUUUAAACAAACAAACAAAUAGAACAAACCUGCAGUGUGGGCAGCCAGUGUUAUUAUUUUGGUGAUUCCCUUCCCUCUGUUCUGAGCUGAAAUUGUGUGAGGCCAACGUCAAGGGAGGAAAUGAUUUUAGAGAGUGAA